rnacentral:rRNA from 1 species
GAGGGAGGAAGGUCUUUGGGUUGUAAACCUCUUUUCUUAAGGAAGAAGAUCUGACGGUACUUAAGGAAUCAGCAUCGGCUAACUCCGUGCCAGCAGCCGCGGUAAUACGGAGGAUGCAAGCGUUAUCCGGAAUUAUUGGGCGUAAAGCGUCCGCAGGCGGCAUUAUAAGUCUGCUGUCAAAGACCGCAGCUCAACUGCGGAAAGGCAGUGGAAACUGUAAAGCUAGAGUACGGUAGGGGUAGAGGGAAUUCCCAGUGUAGCGGUGAAAUGCGUAGAUAUUGGGAAGAACACCAGUGGCGAAAGUGCUCUACUGGGCCGUAACUGACGCUCAGGGACGAAAGCUAGGGGAGCGAAAGGGAUUAGAUACCCCUGUAGUCCUAGCUGUAAACGAUGGAUACUAGGCGUAGCUUGUAUCGACCCGAGCUGUGCCGAAGCUAACGCGUUAAGUAUCCCGCCUGGGGAGUACGCACGCAAGUGUGAAACUCAAAGGAAUUGACGGGGG